rnacentral:rRNA from 1 species
AGACCCGAAACCCGGUGAUCUAGCCAUGGGCAGGUUGAAGGUUGGGUAACACUAACUGGAGGACCGAACCGACUAAUGUUGAAAAAUUAGCGGAUGACCUGUGGCUGGGGGUGAAAGGCCAAUCAAACCGGGAGAUAGCUGGUUCUCCCCGAAAGCUAUUUAGGUAGCGCCUCGUGAAUUCAUCUCCGGGGGUAGAGCACUGUUUCGGCUAGGGGGCCAUCCCGGCUUACCAACCCGAUGCAAACUGCGAAUACCGGAGAAUGUUAUCACGGGAGACACACGGCGGGUGCUAACGUCCGUCGUGAAGAGGGAAACAACCCAGACCGCCAGCUAAGGUCCCAAAGUCAUGGUUAAGUGGGAAACGAUGUGGGAAGGCCCAGACAGCCAGGAUGUUGGCUUAGAAGCAGCCAUCAUUUAAAGAAAGCGUAAUAGCUCACUGGUCGAGUCGGCCUGCGCGGAAGAUGUAACGGGGCUAAACCAUGCACCGAAGCUGCGGCAGCGACACUCAGGUGUUGUUGGGUAGGGGAGCGUUCUGUAAGCCUGCGAAGGUGGCCUGUGAGGGUUGCUGGAGGUAUCAGAAGUGCGAAUGCUGACAUAAGUAACGAUAAAGCGGGUGAAAAGCCCGCUCGCCGGAAGACCAAGGGUUCCUGUCCAACGUUAAUCGGGGCAGGGUGAGUCGACCCCUAAGGCGAGGCCGAAAGGCGUAGUCGAUGGGAAACGGGUUAAUAUUCCCGUACUUGGUGUUACUGCGAAGGGGGGACGGAGAAGGCUAUGUUGGCCGGGCGACGGUUGUCCCGGUUUAAGCGUGUAGGCUGGUUUUCCAGGCAAAUC